rnacentral:misc_RNA from 1 species
UCUUGCGCUCCCGGGAUAUGCCUGGGAGCAUGCUUGUCGGGGAGGAGGAGGCGAAAACUCGCCCACAGCUUUGGGUUCGAUCUCGACCUCAAGGCGGUGGAGCGGAAUAUGAGUGUUCCGGGGAGCGGUAGUGCGGUGUGUAUUUUUGUACAUGCCUCCUGCUCGUCCCCUGAGUCCACCCAAGCCUAGAGAGCUACCGAUUGUCCGGGCCUCAUUGCCUUUGCGGCGCUGUAGACAGGUCCACCUUGCGUCCUCCGGAAGAUCCGCUGUUGAUACCUUCGCAACCUCGCCCCCUCUCGCGGGGCGGGGCAGGGCGAAGGAGACACUGACGCCGGGGAUGUGCGCGGGUUACCUUGAGGCGUCGCAGGAGGCAAGUUCACCUUGCGUCCUCCGGAGGAUCCGUUGUUGACGGCGCCCCCUAUCGCGGGGCGGGGACACAACGGGUCGCCGGGGAUGUGCGCGGGUGUCCUUGAGGCUUGGGACGGUAGGUAGUCUCGAGAGUACCGGUGAGAGGCCGGUGAUUAUGAUUAUGCCAUACCCCCGAUCAAGCAAGAAGACCCGCUGAAUUUAAGCAUAUACUAAGCGGAGGA